UACGGAAGGCAGCAGGGGGAAGUAUUGCACAAUGGGCGCAAGCCUGAUGCAGCCAUGCCGCGUGUAUGAAGAAGGCCUUCGGGUUGUAAAGUACUUUCAGUCGUGAGGAAGGUGUUAAGGUUAAUAACCUUAGCAAUUGACGUUAGCGACAGAAGAAGCACCGGCUAACUCCGUGCCAGCAGCCGCGGUAAUACGGAGGGUGCGAGCGUUAAUCGGAAUUACUGGGCGUAAAGGGCACGCAGGCGGUUAAUUAAGUUGGAUGUGAAAUCCCCGGGCUUAACCUGGGAAUGGCAUUCAAGACUGGUUAGCUAGAGUCUUGUAGAGGGGGGUUAGAAUUCCAUGUGUAGCGGUGAAAUGCGUAGAGAUGUGGAGGAAUACCGGUGGCGAAGGCGGCCCCUGGACAAAGACUGACGCUCAUGUGCGAAAGCGUGGGGAGCAAACAGGG
rnacentral:rRNA from 1 species